AAAUAGAUACCCCGGUAGUCCACGCCCUAAACGAUGUCAACUGGUUGUCGGGGAAGUUAUUCCUUGGUAACGAAGCUAACGCGUGAAGUUGACCGCCUGGGGAGUACGGCCGCAAGGUUAAAACUCAAAAGGAAUUGACGGGGACCCGCACAAGCGGUGGAUUAUGUGGAUUAAUUCGAUGCAACGCGAAAAACCUUACCUACCCUUGACUUGUCAGGAAUCCUGCAGAGAUGCGGGAGUGCCCGAAAGGGAACCUGAACACAGGUGCUGCAUGGCUGUCGUCAGCUCGUGUCGUGAGAUGUUGGGUUAAGUCCCGCAACGAGCGCAACCCUUGCCAUUAGUUGCCACAUUCAGUUGGGCACUCUAAUGGGACUGCCGGUGACAAACCGGAGGAAGGUGGGGAUGACGUCAAGUCCUCAUGGCCCUUAUGGGUAGGGCUUCACACGUAAUACAAUGGCCGGUACAGAGGGCUGCCAACCCGCAAGGGGGAGCUAAUCCCAGAAAGCCGGUCGUAGUCCGGAUUGUUCUCUGCAACUCGAGAGCAUGAAGUCGG
rnacentral:rRNA from 1 species